ensembl:snoRNA
AGCCUUUUGUAGUUCAUGAGCAUGAUGAGUGGGUUUUCAUGAGCAUGCAUGAGAUGUGUCUCCCACAAAUCUUGUUACGACAUUAGCACAUUACCCAUCUGACU